rnacentral:rRNA from 1 species
AUUGAACGCUGGCGGCAGGCCUAACACAUGCAAGUCGAACGAGUGGCGGACGGGUGAGUAAUGUCUGGGAAACUGCCCGAUGGUGGGGGAUAACUACUGGAAACGGUCGCUAAUACCGCAUACCAUCGGAUGUGCCCAGAUGGGAUUAGCUUGUAGGUGGGGUAACGGCUCACCUAGGCGACGAUCCCUAGCUGGUCUGAGAGGAUGACGAGCAAAACUGGAACGGAGACACGGUCAAGAGUCCUACGGGAGGCAGCAGUGGGGAAUAUUGCACAAGGGGCGAAAGCCGGAUGCAGACAUGCCGCGUGUAUGAAGAAGGCCUUCGGGUUGUAAAGUACUUUCAGCGAGGAGGCGUUACUCGAAGAAGAAGCACCGGCUAACUCCGUGCCAGCAGCCGCGGUAAUAC